UCCAGGCCUUUUUCUGGAUCCAGGAGCGAAUCAACUAAGAAACAGCCUAGCACCCUUUUAAGUCCGGAAUCAGGCCACCCUGACCUCAUGGUCCCAUGGACGCUGCCAGGAAGCCUGAAAACUCCAUCCAAAGCUGCUGAGACAGAAUCUUUGGCAGAGCUGAAAGGAAGCUGAAAGGAGCGGUGCCGGGAGUUCCUGCCCAAAAAAGGCCUGAACCAUGGAAGAGAUUACUGGAGCACCAGACGUCUUGGACCGUGAGUAUAAGGACCACAAGCUAGAGACUGUAGAGCUGACAGCCCGAAGGAGAUUGAGUCUUUAAUGAAUUUGGGGUACCUUGCCACACUCACGCCAAAAUGCUUACUUACAAAAUCCCUUUGCAAGAGAAAGCAAC